rnacentral:rRNA from 1 species
AUGAAACACUCCUACGGGAGGCAGCAGUGGGGAAUUUUGGACAAUGGGCGGAAGCCUGGUCCAGCAACGCCGCGUGAGGGAUGACGGCCUUCGGGUUGUAAACCUCUUUCGGUGGGGACGAAGCGCAAGUGACGGUACCCACUAAAGAAGCACCGGCCAACUACGUGCCAGCAGCCGCGGUAAUACGUAGGGUGCGAGCGUUGUCCGGAAUUAUUGGGCGUAAAGGGCUCGUAGGCGGUUUGUCGCGUCGGGAGUGAAAACCAGGUGCUUGACACCUGGCUUGCUUUCGAUACGGGCAGACUAGAGGUAUGCAGGGGAGAACGGAAUUCCUGGUGUAGCGGUGAAAUGCGCAGAUAUCAGGAGGAACACCGGUGGCGAAGGCGGUUCUCUGGGCAUGACCUGACGCUGAGGAGCGAAAGUGUGGGGAGCGAACAGGAUUAGAAACCCUAGUAGUCCGAAGUUC